CCUACGGGAGGCAGCAGUGGGGAAUAUUGGGCAAUGGAGGAAACUCUGACCCAGCGACGCCGCGUGCGGGAUGAAGGCCUUCGGGUUGUAAACCGCUUUCAGCAGGGAAGAAGCGAAAGUGACGGUACCUGCAGAAGAAGCACCGGCUAACUAUGUGCCAGCAGCCGCGGUAAUACAUAGGGUGCAAGCGUUGUCCGGAAUUAUUGGGCGUAAAGAGCUCGUAGGUGGUUCGUCACGUCGGAUGUGAAAAUCUGGGGCUUAACCCCAGACCUGCAUUCGAUACGGGCGAGCUUGAGUAUGGUAGGGGAGUCUGGAAUUCCUGGUGUAGCGGUGGAAUGCGCAGAUAUCAGGAGGAACACCAAUGGCGAAGGCAGGACUCUGGGCCAUUACUGACACUGAGGAGCGAAAGCGUGGGGAGCGAACAGGAUUAGAUACCCUGGUAGUCCACGCCGUAAACGGUGGGCACUAGUUGUGGGGACCUUCCACGGUCUCUGCGACGCAGCUAACGCAUUAAGUGCCCCGCCUGGGGAGUACGAUCGCAAGAUUAAAACUCAAAAGAGUAGUAGACGNGAGAGAGCGACGACGACGACGAGGAGGAGGAG
rnacentral:rRNA from 1 species